rnacentral:rRNA from 1 species
AGUAACGCGUGGGUAACCUGCCCUUAAGUCUGGGAUACCAUUUGGAAACAGAUGCUAAUACCGGAUAAAAGCUACUUUCGCAUGAAAGAAGUUUAAAAGGCGGCGUAAGCUGUCGCUAAAGGAUGGACCUGCGAUGCAUUAGCUAGUUGGUAAGGUAACGGCUUACCAAGGCGAUGAUGCAUAGCCGAGUUGAGAGACUGAUCGGCCACAUUGGGACUGAGACACGGCCCAAACUCCUACGGGAGGCAGCAGA